rnacentral:rRNA from 1 species
AUGGACGCGGCCGGCGACUCACCCGAGCAGUCAUCCUCCGACUCCGGCGAGAGGAUGAAGAAGGUGUGCGUGGCGGUGGGGGCUGGGUCCGACUCCAAGUCCAUGGUGCUGUGGGCACUGCACAAGUUCCCCAAAGAAUCCGGCGCCGUCUCCUUGGUGCUGCUCCAUGUCUACCCCCAACCCAAGCUCAUCCCCAUCAUGGGUGCCAGGAUCCCUGCUAGCCAGGUGCAGGAGCAGGAGCUGAUUGCAUACAAGAAGAUGGAGCUACAAACAAUCAGUGACACUCUGGAUCAACACCUGCUAUUAUGUGCACAGGAAAAGGUACAAGCUGAGAAGCUGGUGGUGGAAUCAGAGGAUGUAGCAGAGGGGCUGGUGCAGCUCAUCGCCGCGCAUCAUGUCACUGAUCUUGUCAUGGGGGCAGCAGCUGAUAAGCAUUACACAAGGGAAAUGAGAGCUCUCAAGUCCAAGAAAGCACGGGCUGUGGAACAGCGGGCGGAUCCUUCCUGCAAAAGAUGGUACAUUUGCAAAGGAACGCUCGUUUACCGUAGGAAUGCCGUUCCCCUUGGCCAUGAAGCACUACCGGAAGGUACUCAUGAGUCUUCUGCUCAACAGUUUUCAGUGGAUAGAUCGACUAGCAUGUCGGAGACUUGGUGUGUUUCAAGCACAUGGCUACACAAACCACACGCCAGGCUGCAGAUGGAAAGGACAACUCCGUGCAGAUCAGACAAUAAUGAAAAGGAAAUUGUCAAAGAAGACGAGGCUGACAAUAAAUUCCAGCAUAUGCUCAGGGAGUUGGAGAGUGUAAGAAAGCAGGCUUAUGAAGAAAAACACGGUCGUGAGAAAGCAGAACAGGAUUUAUUUGAGGCUUUCCAAAAAGCACGAGUCUCCGAGAAUAUGUACUUAGGAGAAGUGAAGCAAAAGAAUGAAAUCGAGGAAAAGUUGGCAACAGUAAUGGAGGAAGUUGAGAGUCUCACAGAAACAACUGAUGGACUUUGUGCAAAGCUUCAAGAGGAACGCAAGAAAAGAUCGGCCCUGGAGAAAAGAACUGCCCAUUCUGACCGUAUCAUCAAGGAUUUGAUGUUGCAGCGCGACAAGGCUGUAAGAGAGGUAGAAGCACUACAUGCAAAGAAAGGAGAGUCCAGUGCAACCGCGGAGGGGACGAUGCACAUCACGGAGUUGUCCAGCUCAGAGAUCAAGGAUGCAACCAACAACUUUGACCACUCAUUGAAGAUUGGAGAAAGUGUUUAUGGAAGCGUGUAUAAGGGAUUUCUUCGGCACACAAAUGUAGCCAUAAAGAAGUUGAAUCUCGAAAGCACAGAAUCACAGUCACAGUCGCAGUUCAAUCAAGAGAUAGAGAUACUCAGUAGGGUGCGGCAUCCAAACCUGGUCACUCUUAUUGGAGCUUGCAAGGAUGCUCAAGCUCUUGUCUACGAAUACAUGCCGAAUGGAAGCUUGGAUGACCGCCUGGCUUGCAAGGACAAUUCUAAACCUCUUAAUUGGCAGCUGCGCACCCGCAUCAUUUCCCAUGUUUGCUCCGCACUCAUCUUCCUCCAUUCGAAUAAACCCCAUAGCAUUGUCCACAGUGACCUGAAAGCAUCUAACAUUCUUCUAGAUGGAAAUAAUGUAGCAAAGCUCAGUGGUUUUGGCGUGUGCCGAAUGGUCACUGAUGAGUUCAGGGACACAACCACUCUAUAUAGGCAUACCCACCCAAAGGGAUCUUUUGUGUACAUUGAUCCUGAAUAUGUUAUGACUGGUGAUCUAACACCGCUAUCUGACGUAUACUCUUUCGGAAUCGUGCUCCUGCGCCUCUUGACUGGAAGACCAGGAUUCGGGCUGUUGAGAGAUGUGCAACGGGCUGUGGAAAAGGGUUGCCUGGGAGCAAUAUUGGAUUCAUCUGCUGGGGGCUGGCCAGCUAUGCAGGCUGAGCAAUUGGCUCGGGUGGGUCUGAAAUGUUGCGAGAUCAGAAGAAAAAACCGUCCAGACCUGCAAAAGGAGGUUUGGACUGUACUUGAACCAAUGUUGAAGCCUGCUUCUAUUAUGUUGUGUUCCUUGUCAUUCAAAUCAGUAUCAGAAGACCUUGGUGGUGUGCCGCCCUACUUCAUCUGUCCAAUACUACAGGAUGUCAUGAGGGAGCCUCUAAUUGCUGCAGAUGGCUUUACCUACGAAGCCGAAGCUAUAAGGGAGUGGAUUGACAGUGGCCACCAUACAUCACCCAUGACAAACCUUGAGCUACUCCACCGUGAUCUUUUGCCGAACCAUGCCCUCCGUUCUGCAAUCCAAGAAUGGCUGCAGACAGAUGCACAAUAA